rnacentral:rRNA from 1 species
CAGUCGCCGCGGGAAUACAGAGGGUGCGAGCGUUAAUCGGAUUUACUGGGCGUAAAGCGUGCGUAGGCGGCUUUUUAAGUCGGAUGUGUAAUCCCUGAGCUUAACUUAGGAAUUGCAUUCGAUACUGGGAAGCUAGAGUAUGGGAGAGGAUGGUAGAAUUCCAGGUGUAGCGGUGAAAUGCGUAGAGAUCUGGAGGAAUACCGAUGGCGAAGGCAGCCAUCUGGCCUAAUACUGACGCUGAGGUACGAAAGCAUGGGGAGCAAACAGGAUUAGAUACCUCCGUAGUCCCUGUCUCUUAUAC